GAUGAAGAACGUAGCGAAAUGCGAUAAGUAAUGUGAAUUGCAGAAUUCAGUGAAUCAUCGAAUCUUUGAACGCACAUUGCGCCCCCUGGUAUUCCGGGGGGCAUGCCUGUUCGAGCGUCAUUUCACCACUCAAGCCUCGCUUGGUAUUGGGCAACGCGGUCCGCCGCGUGCCUCAAAUCGUCCGGCUGGGUCUUCUGUCCCCUAAGCGUUGUGGAAACUAUUCGCUAAAGGGUGUUCGGGAGGCUACGCCGUAAAACAACCCCAUUUCUAAGGUUGACUUCGGAUCAGGUAGGGAUACCCGCUGAACUUAAGCAUAUCAAUAAGCGGAGGA
rnacentral:misc_RNA from 1 species